rnacentral:lncRNA from 1 species
AUAAAGUCCGAGUCCCAACCUCGCCUUCUCUGAAACCUAACCCCGAAUCCUGCCUCCUCCCCAAUUUUACUUCUCUGAAACCCCCCCACAGCGAUGGGGAAAGACGAAGAGAACAACGGUUUGAUGAGAAAUACUAAUUGGGGAAAGAGCAUGGCUACAGAUCUAUAGCCGCAGGGAAGCUGGUUCAACUUGAUUACUAGUUCGGAAUUUUUCGCUCCGCUAAUUCGUGCUCGAUCUCUGCGCCGCACCUGGUGGCUGGAUUCAAGUAGCUUUCGAGAAGAUGCUGAUGGGCAUUCUAGUAAUUGGAGUCGACUGCAACUCGAUUCAAUCCAUCGAAGGUGCAUUCUCCGUGCGGGAGAGUACUAGGGCCCCCAAGUAUAAGGACGUUAUUAAGAAACUCAUGGCGGAAGGUGGAUGCGGAGCUUUUGACAUGGUGCUACUCGAUGGCUAUAAGGGUAUUAAUGUCGCGUGGGUUAGGGAGGCCAUCAAUCAGAAUGCUCUAGACUCUAGUUUUUGAUUCCGUUAAGCUUGCUACGGAGGCUUUGGCUGACAAGGGAAGUUUUUUUACCAAGGUAUUGUAAUAUGUAUAUGUUUAAUAAUAUAUCUUGUUCUUAUGUAACUAUGAACGAGGUUAUUUUGAAGCAAUUAAAUGUCACGGCUCGAACCUUCAACAAUGGCAGCUCUUCACUGUAACACAGAGAAUGCACUGAACUUAGCUGAAAUAGCUAAGAUUAUAUCACUAAACAAAGAUAAAAAAGAGAAGGGGAAUAAGAUAAAAGAGAACUUUAGAAGAAAGAGAGGAGAAGUGUUGAACGAUUUCAACCGCCACUGAAAAUAUCAUGUUACCAAAGCUUCCAGAACCAUUUGCCCCCUUUCUGCAUCUAUAGGCUCAGCUGGAAGUCGUAUUACCAAAAAUGAAAUAAAGAAAACGUGUUUCAACAAAACAUAUUACAAUUUCAUUUAAUUCAAAACGGCACCGUAUGACUUUGAAUUCCAGUUGCUCUUCUUGGCUUCUUCUUUCCUUCUUCUAGUUCUGCUUCUUUUCCCUCCCCAAUUACUCUUCACGUGACAACCCUUCACCUCACCUUGAUCUUGUCCCCAAGAUCCACAGUAGGGAAACUGUAGUUUGAUCCAAUCGGUGUCUUCCCAGGUUUCACAAUCUAGAGUAGAAUUUGACCAAUGAAUAAGCCACUGGAUGGUGGUGUUAUUUUUUUACGAGUAAUGGUCCUGGACUGUAAGAUGGAUAAUGGAUGAUAUGUUGGUAGUUUAGACCGAUUCUCAUCAGGCAAUUGAAGUACUGGCAUUGCCCUGUCACCUAACUUCUUCUUGAACAAUGAAACAUGAAAGACUGGAUGAAUUCUGGAGCUGGCAGGAAGUGCCAAUUUGUAUGCCACCGUGCCUAUCUUCUUGGUAAUCUGAUAUGGUCCAAAGUAUCUAGCUCCCAGCUUGUGAUUUAUCCUGUGUUCCACUGAUUAUUGUGUGUAAGGAUGAAGCUUGAGGAAGACCCACUCUCCUUCAUUAAAAGACCUCUCAGAACGCUUCGUGUCAGCAUAUAGUUUCAUCUUUGCUCCUGCUUGUGCUAAGUUUUCUUUCAGCUGUUGAUUUAGUUGGUACCUAUGCUGUAGUAAUUCUUCGACUGCAGCCACAUUGGACUGCUGGUAAAGAUCUAAUGAGAGCUGAGGAGGCUUGAUCCCAUAAAGAGCUUCAAAGGGAGUCAUUCAGAUAGAGGAAUGAUAGGAGGUAUUGUACCACCACUCAGCUAAUGAUAACCACUUACCCCAUUGUUUAGGAUGUUGAAAAGUCAUGCACUGUAGGUACAUUUCAAGGCACUGCUUGAGUCGUUCUGUCUGCCCAUCAAAUUGAGGAUGGUAGGUAGAACUUAAAUGCAGCUGGAUACCCAUGAGUUUAAACAAUUCUUGCCAGAAUUUGCUUGUAAAUAUCUUAUCCUUGUUAGAAAUGAUGUUCUGAGGUAUGCCUUGAAGUUUAAAAAUAGAAUCAAGGAAAUUUUUGGCAAUUGUCACGGCUGUGAAUGGAUGCGGAAGUGCCAAGAAAUGACCAUACUUUGUAAAUCUGUAGACCACCACUAAUAUAGUAUCUUUACCUCCUGAAUUAGGCAAUCCUUCAAUGAAGUCCAUACUAAUGUGGCUCCAAGCAUGUAGAGGCACAGGAAGAGGCUUUAACAAUCCAGGGUAAGGCACAUUCUCCCCUUUACACUUCUGGCAGAUUUCACACUGGAGACGUCAGUUUUGAUGUCUCGGUUCAUGCCAGGCCCGUAAAAAUGUUGCUUUGCUUUGUAGAUGCUGCCAUUAUGCCCUCCUUCUUGAGACCCAUGAAUAUUCUGAAUUAGUUUAGAUUUGAUAUUACCCCCUGAACCUAUGUAUAACCUGCCUUUAUACUUCAAAAUAUUGUUGAGGUAUAGGAAGUCUGGAUCUGCUGUUGAAUUUAAGAUGACUGACUGGAUUUUCUCCCUAGCAAAGUUGUCCUCCUUGUAGCUAUCAAUAACUCUUGUAUCCAAGUGGGAAUAAAAGUGGUGAUUCCCGCACACUCCACCUCUUUCUCAUGCCUCCUUGACAAUGCAUCAGCUACUAAGUUAUCAAUUCCUCGUUUAUACAAUCUUUCAUAACUGAGUCCCAACAAUUUAGUGAGCCAUUGCUGUUGAAGAGGGGUUGUAAUCCUCUGUUCUAAAAGAUAUUUGAGAGAUUGGUGGUCAGUCUUUAUGAUGAAGUGGUGGCCCUCUAAAUAAUGUCUCCAUUUACUAACAGCAGUGACUAAGGCUAGUAGUUCCUUUUCGUAUAUUGACAUACCCCUGUUCCUGAUUCCAAUAGCUUUGCUUAGGUAAGCUAGAGGCCUUCUGCCUUGCAUUAGCACAGCACCAAUUCCACUUUGGCAAGCAUCGGUUUCAAUGAUAAAGGGUUGAUGGAAAUCAGGUAAAGCAAGCACAGGCGUUGAACUCAUGGCUUGUUUUAAUCCUUCAAAGGCUAAAUCUCCAGCCUCUGUCCGUUGAAAAUUGUCUUUCUUAAUCAUAUCUGUUAAUGGCCUGGCUAUCACCCCGUAACUCUUGACAAACUUCCUGUAAUACCCAGUCAACCCUAGGAAGCCCCUCAAUUGUUUGAUAUUCCUAGGUUUAGGCCAUAGCUGCAUUGCUUCCACGUUGCUGGGAUCAGCAGAGACUCCUUCUUUGCUAAUAAUAUGACCUAGGUACUCAACCUUCAAUUGCCCAAAACUGCACUUGGACCUCUUGGCAUAUAGUUGAUGUUUCUAUAAUAUCCCUAUUACUGAUUCUAGAUGUUGGCAAUGAGAGGAUAGAUCAGUGCUGUACACUAAAAUAUCAUCAAAAAAUACUAAGACGUAUCUCCUCAGCUGGUCCUUGAAUACCUCAUUCAUGAGGCUUUGGAAGGUAGCGGGUGCAUUGGUGAGGCUAAAGGGCAUCACCUUGAUCUCAUACAGCCCUUGUUGUGUUUUAAAUGAAGUCUUAUGAACAUCUCUUUCAGUAACCCUUAUAUGAUGAUAACCUGCUCUAAGAUCAUUUUUCGAAAAAAACUUCGCUCCAUGAAGUUCAUCUAAUAGUUCAUCAAUAAGUGGCAUUGGGAAUUUGUCCUUGAUUGUUAAGGCAUUCAACUGCCUGUAAUCAACACAGAAUCUCCAAGUCCCAUCUUUCUUCUUGACAAGGAGUACAGGUGAGGCAAAAGGACUAUUGCUUGCUUGUAUAAUCCCAGAUUCCAGCAUUUCUUUAAUCAACUUUUCUAUCUCUGUCUUCUGAAUGAACGGACACCUGUAGGGUCUUAUUUUAAAAGGCCGGGCACCUUCUUUAAGAGGAAUGUGGUGGUCAUGUGAUCUUGGUGGAGGCAGCCCUUUUGGUUUCUUAAACACCCCCUAGAAUUGAUGGAUUACUUCCAGUAGUUUGCUAGGUACCACCUCUUUGGGUUUUUCCUCUUUAGGGGCAUAUAAUUGUCCCAUAACUCCAUAGUGAUUCUUGUCCAUUAUCCUUUCCAUCGCUUGUGCCUCUAUCAUGUCCACUGAUAAUUUUGAUACUUCAUCUCUGAACUUCACCUCAGUGUUCUGUCUCUUGAACUUCAUAACCCUCAGCAAAAUCAAAUUCAAUAGGGCCAAAUUGGUUCAUCCAAUUCACUCCCAAAACCAUGUCACUUCCUGCCAACUUAAGGGUCCUAAGCUUUUAUUGGAAUUCCCAACUUUGAAUCUUCCGUACCACUGGUUGACAAAUGGCUUUACUUUCUAGUUUAUCCCCAUUUGCUACCCUGACAGUUACUUUGUUGGACUCUUCAGUGUUGUAUUUCAACUCUCUAGCCAAUGUCUCAUCUAAAAAACUAUGAGUGCUCCCAUCGUCUAUUAAGGUGGAUAUUAUUUUUCCCCCGAUGUUUCCUAGUACCUUGAUGAACGAUUUCAACAAUACCACUGAAAAUAUCAGGUUACCAAAGCUUCCAGAACCAUUUGUCCCUUUUCUGUAUCUAUAGGCUCAGCCGGAAGUCGUAUUACCAAAAGAAAAUAAAGAAAACGUGUUUUAACAAAACAUAUUACAAUUUCAUUUAAUUUAAAACGGCACCGUAUGACUUUGAAUUCCAGUUGCUCUUAUUGGCUUCUUCUUUCCUCCUCCUGGUUCUGCUUCUUUUCCCUCCCCAAUUACUCUUCACGUGACAUUAAAAUUGACUCUAAUUCCAGACUUGGAUACUUAAUUAUAGCUUUAAAAGUUUAAUGUUAAUGGUUUAUUGUAUUUAGAACACAUAAGCACUCUAAUAAAUAUUUUAUGUUUGAAAAGGUGAUACUUGCGAAUUAGUUGAUGCAAUUUGUGUAAGCAAUUUGCAAACAUAGGAUUUGAAAGUUUUAGGUGUUUCUGGAAUGAAUUAAGCUAUUUGCAAAGUUGAAGAAAAUUUAUGGAUUUUUGGAGUUUAUUUUGUGCGCCUGCAGGUAAGGUUGUGCAACGGGUGUCAUGUUUCUUACAAGCAAACUAGUGGCUUUCAGUGUUCCUUAUGUCCAUACUUGCAAAUAUAUUGGGUUCAGUGUCAUGUUCCACAAGUGAAUUUGGGUAUCUUGGCUGAAACUUAUUCUGGAUUUGAAUUCCUUUCUAAGUUUUGUACCGUUCUGGUUCCCUGCACGCAUACAAGACAGCAACUGCUGAUGUUUACAUUUAGCUUUUGCAAUCACUAUUUUCUUGGGGUAUUAUGACUGAGGAAAUGUAUUUGUCAAUUUUUGAACCAAGAAUUGUUUCUCUUUGAUCCUCACAUAGACAUUCCCCUCUCAGGGAAACGAAGCUCUUUAGGAUUUAUUAUUUAUUAUGAAAUAUUACGUUGCACUUUUUCUGAUGUGUCUCCAUGUAGCUUCACAAAAUCACUACUCAAGUCAACCUUGUCAAGUUGGAAAUGAAUGCAUGACGUGUCUGUUGUUGCCUUGUAGGUCCUCAGAUCCGAUAUUGUAGUGGUAAACUUUUCUUAGUCAGGUAAUCUUAUUUCCUAUGAAGCGAACCCAAAAGCAUCCGUUCUGAUUGAAGGCACAUUAUCACCUUUGUAUUUGGUAUACAGCUCUUUGAAAAAGUUGAAGUGUGUAACUGAAAAGAUAACUUUAGAGGAGAAUUUUAUGCUGUCGAGUUGAAGUAUAAGGCACCUGCUAAAAUGAUCCUGAUCUUCUAUCCAUAGAGCAUCUGUUACGAGAUAAAGAGCAUCAAAAGGUAGUCCAAUCCCUCCACAUUAUCUGCAUGUUAUCUUUCUAUCUUAUAGAAUCAAUAUGUUCAGGUAGUGGAUGCAUUUAGAGUAAAGAAGCAAAAGCAAUACCGUGAUGAGUAUAUUUUCUUCUCGCUAAUAAUUCAUAAAAUCUGCAACUCUCAGCCAAAAACAUUGUUGCUUGCUUGACAUAUAGAAGAAAAUUUUAGUUUAUAUCUGAGCUCAACUGAAUAUGGUCUUUUUGCGCAUCAUGGAGUAUUGGUGUUGUGAUCACGACAUAUCAAACUAAGCUAGUGUGUAGAGUCUAGAGAAAAAUCUAGUAGAGUGAUCUUUUGCACUUUUAUCCCUUUUGCAGUCUUAUCAAUUCAUCGGGAUAUACCACAUACAUGUUUCUUAAGCUCAUACAGGACAAAUCCUUCACUCAAGCCUACUACUAUCACUAGAUUCCCAGACUGCUAUACGUGUUUAAUAAUAUGAAAUUAUAUCUUAUUGAAAUCCUUUCUACUUACUGCACUCCAACGAAACUUACCUAGACACUCUACGUUAUCUCUUUCUUUCUUUCUUUCUUUUUUUUUUUUUUUUUAUAUAAUCAAUAAAAUUCGUUUGCAAAUCAUGUUUCUUUUGUGUGUAAUUUUUCUUGAAUCUCGUGACUGGGGUUCAUAUAAAUAUAAGUUCAUGUUUUUAUAUAAAAGUAUUUACUAGGUUCACUUUUUAGGCAUGAAGAUGGUAAUGCAACUUUGAGGAAAGUCUGCUCUGUAGGAUUUUGUUUGGUCCAGCUAUUUACUUUAGAAGCUUGGUUUAGUUACUUCUAAAGCUUUUGAGAUGUAUGUAUGUUUAUAUAUUAAGGAUAAAGAUGAAGAGAUGUUGCUUCCUCUUUUGUGAAUUGCUUUCUCUUUUCUUCUAUUUAUAUUCUUAUUAUGCAAGUGUUGUUAUAGUAGCUCUUAUUGUGCUGCUUUUGUAUUUUUGAAUUUUUUUAUUCAUUUGACUCAAGCACGACCCCUAAAAUUCUUUCACAUGACAUGCACGACCCCUAAAAUUCUUUCACAUGACAUACUUCAUCAACUCUGCCUCCCUCUCAUUCCUCUGCUUAACAUCCACCAUCAUCGAUUUAGUGAUCCCUCUCCAUUCUUCUCUCAACUUCUUCAUCCUCCUCUCCUCAUGUCCCCAUAUUCAUUUCCACAUACAUCGUUGCUUCAAUACUCAUAGAUGCAAUCAUCUCCUCCAGUGUUUCAUUUGUUUAUACAAGUCCAUAGCCUCGCACCGUCCAAAGGAUCUCAUUUUUCCCUUAAAAUCAAGGGAAUGCAUGUACUUUGACUACAUCUUCAAAUGUGUGUGAUUGAUUGCCCAUUUUAGCAAUUUUAUCCUCAAAUUUUAGAAGAUCAUCCAUUGUAGAGCGCUCUUUUAGAUUUUAAUGAUAUAGGCAUAAUGAGAGAUUGAAUUUUCAAUGGAUGGUCUUAUAAGAUUUGAGGAUAAAAUUGCUACAACGAGCAAUCAAUCUCACACAUAUGAAGAUUUAGUCAAAGUACAUGCAUUCCCUUGAAUUUAAGGGAAAAAUGCGACCCUUUGGGAUGGUGCGAGGCUAAGGACAUAUAUAGACAAAAUGAAACACUGAAGGAGAUGAUUGCAUCUAUGGGUAUUGAAACAACGGUGUAUGUGGAAAUGAAUCUGGGGGUAGGAGGAGAGAAGAAUGAAGGGGGAUCACUAAAUCGAUGAUGAUGGAUGUUAGGUAGAGGGAGGCAGAGCUGAUGAGGAGGCAGCUGGACACAUAAGUAUGCCGUGAAAUAAUUUUGGGAGUUGCGCUUUAGAAAUGAGUCAAAAUGAAUAAAAAAAAUUAUGAAAGCAGCACUAUAACAACAUUUGCAUAAGAAUAAUAGAAAAGAGAAAGCAAUACAUCUUUAUCCUUAAUGUAUAAACAUGUCAAAGACUUUGGAAAUAACUAAACCAAUCUUCUUAAGUUAAUAUUUGUGCUGCACAUUUUUUGACCAGCAAUCCCACGUCCAAAGAACAAUUUAGGCUCGGUAGGAAAAUUUGGCAUGAAGAUUAACUUACCAAGGCUUUGCAGUUAUUCUCAAAGCAUUCAAUUUAUCCAAGGGAUCAUAAUCUAGUAACAUCAUUUAUGCCUUUCCACGUGCAAUACUCUUUCAGGUGACUAUCUAGAAACUUGCAGAUAUGAGAUGACUGGUUUAGGAUACAAUUCUCUAAGCACCAUGAUGAACAGCUUACUGAGCACCCUUUUCAUGCAUAAUUUUGAGACAAAGGUGCACACAUAUUUUGAAAGCAAGGUAAAUACACCAGAUCACCACCAAGUUUGAAUCGCUUCUAUGUAAGCUAUAAGUCUAGACACAGCUGUAAUUUGAAUAGUAUUUUCAUCUUUAUUCACUUAUGUCUCUUUUCAUUGAACAUUUAGUUAGUUUUCAUCUCGAUGGAAGCAUAAUAUUUCAAGUCGACAAAUUUGCCACCUC